CCUACGGGAGGCAGCAGUGGGGAAUAUUGCACAAUGUGGGAAACCCUGAUGCAGCGACGCCGCGUGAGUGAAGCAGGAUCUCGGUAUGUAAAGCUCUAUCAGCAGGGAAGAUAAUGACGGUACCUGACCACGAAGCCCCGGCUAACUACGUGCCAGCAGCCGCGGUAAUACGUAGGGUGCAAGCGUUAUUCGGAUUUACGGGGUGUAAAGGGAGCGUAGACGGCAGCACAAGGCUGGAGUGAAAUCCCGGGGCUUAACCCCGGAACUGCGUUGGAAACUGGGCAGCUGGAGUGCAGGAGGGGUAAGCGGAAUUCCUAGUGUAGCGGUGAAAUGCGUAGAUAUUAGGAAGAACACCGGUGGCGAAGGCGGCUUACUGGACUGUAACUGACGUUGAGGCUCGAAAGCGUGGGGAGCAAACAGGAUUAGAUACCCGGGUAGUC
rnacentral:rRNA from 1 species